CUUUAGGCAAACAUUGUGGGUAAAGGAAAGGGGUAAAAAAGGGCAAAGAGGUAGGGGGAGUCAAGAAAGAAUUGGUUCUGUAGUCCAUCAUUGGCGCCUGAGGGGCAUAGGCACUAGGGGGUAGGUCACAGGGGUAGAGAUGAGGGUGAAAAGCCAUCCCUGUGGGUGG